GAUCUAAGCUGACUUCAUAGCGUGCAUCCAAGAACACACAUAGCUGAUGACACCAAGCCUGGAAAAGACAAACACAGCAUCUAUAUCAAGAGGUUUCAAGACUGGAGGAGAGAAGGAGCGGAUGGGCCAGCACAAUUUAAGAAGUUGUUUAAAAUUUAAUAUACAGCUAGGAAUAUGAAAGACUACCUCUAUUUUUUUCAGGACAUCUUCCUUGUUG